rnacentral:rRNA from 1 species
UGAUCCUGGCUCAGGACGAACGCUGGCGGCGUGCCUAAUACAUGCAAGUCGAGCGGACCUGAUGGAGUGCUUGCACUCCUGACGGUCAGCGGCGGACGGGUGAGUAACACGUAGGUAACCUGCCCGUAAGGCCGGGAUAACAUCCGGAAACGGAUGCUAAUACCGGAUACGCAAUUCCUUCGCAUGGGGGAUUGGGAAAGGCGGUUCCGAUUGAAUUCGGGCUGCCGCUUACGGAUGGACCUGCGGCGCAUUAGCUGGUUGGUGGGGUAACGGCUCACCAAGGCGACGAUGCGUAGCCGACCUGAGAGGGUGAUCGGCCACACUGAGACUGAGACACGGCCCAGACUCCUACGGGAGGCAGCAGUAGGGAUUCUUCCGCAAUGGACGAAAGUCUGACGGAGCAACGCCGCGUGAGUGAGGAAGGCCUUCGGGUCGUAAAGCUCUGUUGCCAGGGAAGAACGUGCGAGGGAGUCACUGCCCUUGUAGUGACGGUACCUGAGAAGAAAGCCCCGGCUAACUACGUGCCAGCAGCCGCGGUAAUACGUAGGGGGCAAGCGUUGUCCGGAAUUAUUGGGCGUAAAGCGCGCGCAGGCGGCUUUGUAAGUCUUGUGUUUAAACGCGGGGCUCAACCCCGUGUCGCAUGGGAAACUGCAAGGCUUGAGUGCAGAAGAGGAAAGUGGAAUUCCACGUGUAGCGGUGAAAUGCGUAGAGAUGUGGAGGAACACCAGUGGCGAAGGCGACUUUCUGGGCUGUAACUGACGCUGAGGCGCGAAAGCGUGGGGAGCAAACAGGAUUAGAUACC